rnacentral:lncRNA from 1 species
CCGCCCGCGGCGUGGGGCGCGCUCGCCAGCCCAGGGGUCGCCAUGACUGAGCGGCCCAGGCCCGAGCGAAGCCCGCGCGCGGUCACAUGGGAUCCUGACACCAUUUGGAGAUUCAGAGAAGUAUGAAGAGCACAAAGCACUUGGCUGCCCCCCCCCCGUGGGCCUCUUCCCAGCACUCCCUUUCUAUGACACUCAUGCAUCAUCCUGCAUCCCACGUUCCCUAUGCGUCAUGUCAUCUGUACAUCAUGUGUCUACUCCCCAUGGUCAUGUCAUGGUGUUGUGUACUGGACACAGUUGAAUACUCCCGUCACAUGAUGGGGAAGGCCCCUGAUUGCUGACUCUGCCCGCCUGCCACACUGGCUGUGUCCGGAGCCACUCGGGAUCCAGUCCACACACACCCCUCAGA